UUCCAGUUUAUUCUGGACAAAAAGUGAUUAAUUUCUCUUUUUCCAGAGGCAGCAAGUGGGAGGAGUAGAUAAGGUGUCUGCCCACCUGUACUGUGCUAGAUCCUGCUACCUGCUGAGGUCUGGCUCCAGGAAUUACAUUUGGUCACAAAGUUCUGUAUUGCUUCUGAAAUGUGAAGACUGAAUCUGCUUUCAUUGCUGCAGCAAUCACACCUCUCCCAAUGAAACCAGGCUGAACAGGGUAAGCAUGCUGUCCUCAUCAGGCUCAAUCUGAAUAACUUUGCAGAAUUUGGUAUAUGGAACUAUUAUAUCGGCCUGACUGCUUACAGCUUGUGUGUGAGUUCUUAAGAAUUGGAGUGAAAGCUGGAGACUUGCACUUACUCUCCACAGUCUCUGUAAACUAUUUUUGAGUAUGGCUCCUGGAAUCUGCAAGUUAUAUUUAUUCACUGAGUAAUGAUGUUAGUAGUGCCAAUAGCAAUAGGAAGUCCACAGUAAGAGUUCUGAAAUUAUACAAAAAUAGUUGGGUUACAGCAAUAAAUAACAUCAUUUGUGCUUUUAAAAAAACAAAAGUUCUGAUUCAAUUUGGUUUGGAAUGCUAAAUGAGGCAAUAUGCUGCUUUCAGCUGUGCCUGUGCAUCCCUCCCUGUCACCAGCACCGUGGAUGUGCCCCUCGGAGAAAACCUGCCCUCGCCUCCAGCCACCGUGUUCCUUAACUAAUCGUAACAAAACUCAAGUAUUCAAGCCAUUCUGCUGGAAAUUCUCAACACAGAGCAAUGAACUAGUUUUUAUGCUCCUUCCCCAGCUGCUUACCGUCUAGGUAUUUGCUGCAUUGGAAAGAAUUUUACAGAGGAGAGAAGCAGGGAACCUUGGUAGCAGAGUCCAACAGGACUGACACAUUAAAGCACUGUUGAGCCAAUGCACUUGUUGAAUUCUACACUUUACUUCAAAAUUAUACAGAGCAAUAUACAAAAGUAAUGCAUUAAAUCAGUUUCAUUUGUGUAAUGGACCUUUAUGGAUUUUGAUUUCCAGUCACAGACCAUACACACAUCGACUGAUACCACAUUUUUGCCUUAGACAAUAAUCCUCUGCCUUUCACUUUAUAAGAGUUGAGAACUGGUUUAAUUCUAACCUUCAGUUUAAAAAUAGUCCUGUAUGCUUUUAUGAAAGGAUAUUAAAAGGUAAACUAAGUUGAAAGUAAAGCUAUAGUGGGGCUCUUUGCUUUGAGUCAAAGGUUUACAAAAUAAGGCGUUCAGAAUGUAGGUUACUCAGCAGUUUCAGGGGAGUUGUGUUUUCACACUUAACCCUUGCCCAGCAAAAUGCCGUAGCACAAGCAGCCAUUCCUCACAGCGCCUGAACUGUCUCCGGGAUGCCAGCGUGAAAAUGCAAUUUCCUCAUUUCUGUGAAUAAAGGGAUAGAAGUACACUCAUUCCUCAAUCUUCAGCUUGGUCCAAGUUGAUGAGACAAAUAUUGAUUUGAUGUACAACAUUUGAAAAACACGUUAUUUUUUUAUUUCGGAAAUUUUAAUUUUGAAGAGGUGGCUCUGAAGACAAUGAUGCAGUGAUUUCCUUCCCCCCCAGCAUUCCCAGUGCUAGCAGAAUUCCACACCAAUCAGCCAACUAUAUACGCUUACUCAGUCUGAGUGAGGGGAAAAACUAAACAAUUUCAAUUUCCAAGGCUGCUCACUUGGACUAUUUUAAAAACAACUCGGAGGCAGGGGCCUUCAGAAGUGUGGACUUGUUGAGGUUUGAGUGCUGUAUUCGGAAGAGAAUCAGCUUCUUGUUUUCUAAUAUUUUGAAAACGUAAUUGAAUUAGUGAGUCCUCAGUGCAAUAUUUUACAAAAUGCAAUUAUUUUUCUUAAAAACGAGAAUGACAUCUCAGUGGAACACUAGGUAAACGUGCAUUUAGCUGUACUAGUGAUUUAAGAAAAAAACCCAAAACCCCAACAAACAACCCCAAACAAUGCACCCUAAUCACAUUGGUAAAGCUCCAAACUACUGGAUGUCUGUGCUCCAACAGCUGCAAUUAACUCUUAAUUUUCUUUUAUUUUUUAAACUUUUAUCUACAUUCCUGCACUGUGAAAAUCAUCUUUCUCAAGAAAAAAAGAGAGAGAAGGGCUAGUUUCAGGUAGUGCAGUAAGACUCAGUAUAGCUCCUUUAAUUUCUUUACACAGUAAACAGACUUCUAUUUAUACCAACACCCUGAUCUGUACUUUCUUAUUUACAUGAAACACUUUUACAUAUAUACAUGUUAGCAAAAUACAGGGCUUCUCCCAGAACAAAAUGCAUUUCAGCUCUAUCUUUGUUACACAACUAAUACUUUUUUUUCUUAAAAAGAAAGCCCACCUCACUUGUUUCUUAUGCACAAUGAUUCCAUUUAGCUAAAUACUCAAACUGUAUUUCUUUCCUUCUCAUGUAGUACUCUCUUUAG